rnacentral:rRNA from 1 species
AUUGAACGCUGGCGGAAUGCUUUACACAUGCAAGUCGAGCGGCAGCACGGACUUCGGUCUGGUGGCGAGUGGCGAACGGGUGAGUAAUGUAUCGGAACGUGCCCAGUCGUGGGGGAUAACGUAGUGAAAAUUACGCUAAUACCGCAUACGAUCUAUGGAUGAAAGCGGGGGAUCGCAAGACCUCGCGCGAUUGGAGCGGCCGAUAUCAGAUUAGGUAGUUGGUGGGGUAAAGGCACUCCAAGCCAACGAUCUGUAGCUGGUCUGAGAGGACGACCAGCCACACUGGAACUGAGACACGGUCCAGACUCCUACGGGAGGCAGCAGUGGGGAAUUUUGGACAAUGGGCGAAAGCCUGAUCCAGCCAUUCCGCGUGCAGGAUGAAGGCCCUCGGGUUGUAAACUGCUUUUGUACAGAACGAAAAGGUUUCUACUAAUACUAGGAGCUCAUGACGGUACUGUAAGAAUAAGCACCGGCUAACUACGUGCCAGCCGCCGCGGUAA